GUCAUAGGAGCAGCUGUGAGUCACAGACAGAGAUACUGCAGCUUUGUGUGCGAGUAACCACGCAACGGCGCACCUAUUGGAUUGGGUGGGGUGGGGGGGUGUAGAUAGAGGGAGGGAGGGUGAGAGGGUGAGGAAGAGAGAGAGGAGGAGAAAAAGACAGACAGACAGACAGACUGACUGAGUGAGUGAUUAACAGUGAGCAGAGGUCAGGGUGGAGGGGGGAGGGGGGGCGAGUGUCUUUAUCAGAAGACAGAAAGCAUAGCUGCGUCACGUGACUCCACUAAUGAAGUAAUAGGAGCAGCUGUGAGUCACAGACAGAUCCUGCAGCGUGUGUGCGAGUAACCACGGCAACGGCGCACCUGUGCUCAUUAACGAGCUGCUGCAAAGGGCAGAGACAGGGCACGCGUUACACAGAAUCCACACCUCAAACAAAUGACAACCAGCGCAAAACUAUAAAAGCUAUCUAAAAAAUACGACGUUUUUACGAGACCCAAGACUCUACUGAACACAGGGAGGGUUUUUUGUAUGUCUGUCUGGUAAUAAAUAAGGCAGUUUACAAAACGUGUACCUUCUGGAUUUUUUGAAAAAUAUGUCGCCAGAUUUGUAUUGGAGCCUAUGGGGCUUUUAGCAGAGGUUGUGUGACUGUUGGUCUCCGUAGUCCAAAACUAAAGAACUCUGGGAUUCCAUAGUGUAGGAUAUUAGAAAUAAAUUGACGAUCCGGUUCAUAAAAUUAAUAAAAAUGCAUAUAGUGUACACCAGAAUACAGCCAUGAUUCUGAAAUUGUGUAAUCAAUAAAGUAAUGACAAUAUUGUCAAACCACUGUAAUUCUGCAACUGUAAUAGAACAAUACCAAUGCAGUUAUGAUUGUAUUUGAUGUAAUGUAAUCAACUGGAAUGCAUGCAUGUAAUACUUGAACAACAACUGAUAUUGACUAAGGGCCAUUCGAAAUCCGAGUUACAUUGAACUCACCAGAAGACUCCCAGAGGUGUGGACACUGACUUUUACACCUUUAAGCAUUGUUAUAAAUACCUGUAGGAACCAUUGUUCUCGAGUUCACUGGUGGAGGCGACAGACGGGCUCUAGGGAUGGUCAAAAGGACUGACCUGGGGCCUGUUGGUGGCUGAGACCAGCGGCUCCUCAGCUGAGAUGUUCUUUUUACCAAAACACCAUCACUUUUAUUAAAUACAUUUUUACUUACA
ensembl:lncRNA